ensembl:lncRNA
AAUUCCUGACCUCCGGUGAUCCACCUGCCUCAGCCUCCCAAAGUUCUGGGAUUACAGACAUGAGAAACCAUGCCCGGCCGAUUUCUCUCUCUUUUUUUUUUUAAGAGACAAGGUCUCGCUGUGUUGCCCAGGCUGGUCUCAAAUUCCUGGGCUCAAGCAAUCCUCCUGCCUCGGCCUUCUGAGUACAAAAGUGCAUCUCAAAUAGUUUUAAAAUGAUGUGCAAUAUUUAGCAACCAGUACAGCCCAGCAUCAACCAAUGAGAAGUGUCUGACUGUUGAGAACAGAUGCAGCCAAGGUGCCACCCCUGUGUGCACCAGCUGGACUUCAGCACUGUGUAGUGUUCUCAAUAUGAAAGGAAAAGCUGAACAGCUAACAGAAGACGUAAAAUAUCUUAACAACUCUAUUAAAUAAGCAAUCAAAAAGCAACCAACUGCAAAACAAGAUAAUUCAUCCUGUCUACAUUAAAAUUAAAAUUUUCUUUUUUUUUUUUUUGAGACAGAGUCUCUUUGUCACUCAGGCUGAAGUGCAGUGGCGCUGUCUCGGCUCACUGCAGCCUCCACCUCCCGGGUUCAAGUGAUUCUCCUGCCUCUGCCUCCCGAGUAGCUGGGAUAUUACAAGCAUGCGCCACUGCACCCAGCUAAUUUUUGUAUUUUUAGUAGAGAUGGGAUUUCACCAAGUUGGUCAGAGUGGUCUUGAACUCCUGGCCUCAAGUGAUCCACCCAUCUCGGCCACCGAAAGUGCUGGGAUUACAGACGUGAGCCAUCACGCCUAGCUAAAAUUAAGAAUUUCUGUUCAGUGAAGGAUAUCCCUAGAUACAAAGAAAAUUUCAAUUUUUUCCCCUUUAAAUUUUUUUUUUUUUUUUUGAGACGGAGCCUUGCUCUGUCGCCAGGCUAAAGCGCAGUGGCGGAAACUGGGCUCACUGCAAUCUCUGCCUCCUGGGUUUAGGCGAUUCCCCUGCCUCAGCCUCCAGAGUAGCUGGGACUACAGGUGUGCUCCACCAUGCCCAGCUAAUUUUUUGUAUUUUAGUAGAGACGGGGUUUCACCAUGUUGGCCAGGAGGGUCUCAAUCUCCUGCCCUCGAGAUCCACCCACCUUGCCCUCCCAAAGCCCCCUUUUUAAUUUUUUUUGUAGAGACAAGGUCUCACUAUGUUGCCCAGGCUGGUCUCAACCUCCUGGGCUGAAGCGAUCCUUCCUCCUCGGCCUCCCAAAGUGCUGGGAUUACCAAUGAACCUCCAUACCCAGCCCAAAUAUGCAUUCUUGGAAUUAUUUGCAAUUGCCCAGGAAUGUACAAGCAACUCCUGAGAAUAAACCAAAAAAGAUAAGAAACUCCAUGAGAAAAUGGGCAAUGCACAGGAAGGGAAACCAGAAAGGCUAAGUGAAAAAAUUCCCCAAAUUAAUGCUGAUCAGAUGAAUGUAUAUUAAAGGACAGCACCACUUUCUACCCAUCAGACUGGCAAAAAUUAGGUAGUCCGGCAAUACAAGUGCUGGCAAGGAUAAGGAGAAAAGGGCGGCCUACUUUCAAGUAGGAGGGUCAGUCACCGUUCUAAAGAAAAUCUGGAAAACCAUAGAGAAACUGACCUCUGUGACCUAUAAGCCCAUCCUGGGUACACAUGCCACACAAGCACAGAAGGGAACACACGAAAGGAUGUUUAUCGUGGCCUGUAUCUGGUGCCAAGGGGUCAGGGGCACCCAGGUGUCCCCCACUUCAGGCAAUGUGUGUAAACUGCAACCGACAUUGUGGAGUGCCACAUGGCAGGUCAAAGCAAUACUGCAUUUCUAGAAGAGUCAAUAGGGCUAGAUCUUAGCAAACACUGAGUGAAAACAGCAUAAGACCUAUUGCACAACAGCACU